rnacentral:antisense_RNA from 1 species
ACUCACCAAGGGCCGCGCCGGGGUUCUGCACUGUCACUGCGCUGCGGUUCCCCGCCUUAGGGAUUCUCACACGGUUCCACGGCUCCGGGCCCGGCGGCACCGCAGCCAUCUUGCGAGGCGGGGGGACUUAAGAAAGGCGGAACUACGCGAGAGCACGUCGAGCGACCGGAGUCUCUGUGUGGCUUGGCCAUGAGGAUCGGAGAGGAUAUAAAGAGGGCAGGAGAGGGGACGACUCCCAUUUUGCCACCCUGGCAGCUCUCAACCGGCUCUGCUCCAGCCAACUCUUCACAGUACUUAAAGUCCUUUUUCAACGCCACGAAGUGAUGCUCUCACCGGGUUCAGAUGAGCUCAUCUCCUCUCUAACUACACUAAAGUGCCUUGAGGGCUGGAACAUUGCCUCAUGCUUCUCCAUCCCUGACAUGCUCAAGCCCAAUGCUGAUACAGUGCUCAGUAAAUUAUUGUCCUUUGGUUGAUUUGCAACAAGUGCUUUUUAAAUUGGAAUGCUCAGGGUUGAAAUAGUCCUUCAGUUGUUCCAGAUCACCAUUUUUUUUUUUUUUUUUU